GAUGAACGCUGGCGGCGUGCCUAAUACAUGCAAGUCGAGCGAACAGACGAGGAGCUUGCUCCUCUGACGUUAGCGGCGGACGGGUGAGUAACACGUGGAUAACCUACCUAUAAGACUGGGAUAACUUCGGGAAACCGGAGCUAAUACCGGAUAAUAUAUUGAACCGCAUGGCUCAAUAGUGAAAGACGGUUUUGCUGUCACUUAUAGAUGGAUCCGCGCCGCAUUAGCUAGUUGGUAAGGUAACGGCUUACCAAGGCAACGAUGCGUAGCCGACCUGAGAGGGUGAUCGGCCACACUGGAACUGAGACACGGUCCAGACUCCUACGGGAGGCAGCAGUAGGGAAUCUUCCGCAAUGGGCGAAAGCUUGACGGAGCAACGCCGCGUGAGUGAUGAAGGUCUUCGGAUCGUAAAACUCUGUUAUUAGGGAAGAACAAAUGUGUAAGUAACUAUGCACGUCUUGACGGUACCUAAGCAGAAAGCCACGGCUAACUACGU
rnacentral:rRNA from 1 species